UGGGGAAUAUUGCACAAUGGGGGGAACCCUGAUGCAGCGACGCCGCGUGAGCGAAGAAGUAUUUCGGUAUGUAAAGCUCUAUCAGCAGGGAAGAAAAUGACGGUACCUGACUAAGAAGCUCCGGCUAAAUACGUGCC
rnacentral:rRNA from 1 species